GGGGGAGGAGGGAGGAGGGAGGCAAGCUAGCCUAAGUUAGGGCCUAAUUGGUUUAGCUUCUUUGGAAGUAGUGAUUUUGAAUCAGAGGUGAGUCAACAGAUGUUCCUUUUUCAACUCAUAAUAUCUUAGUUCAUUUUAGAGUAACCUCACCGAAGAGAGGUUCCUUGCAAACAUUUGUUUGGCAAAUCUUUUCCAUGGAAUAACCUUUUAACUAAAAGCUCUAGCUAAUAGAUCCUUGACGGGGAAAAAUAAUAAAAUAAAAUUUGGUGAACCCUAUAGAAACCACUAUUUGUCAAUCUUAAUGGUCCUUUUUUUAACACUGAUGACUCUAAUGGUCCUCGCAAGUGGCCCUCGGCCACCCAAUAGACUAUAUAGAAAAUCUGUAUGCGAGACAAAUAUGUACUAUGAGAUAAGAAAAAGUAUAUUAGUGGUCUAAUAGAUGAUCUAAUGAACUGCCCAGUAGUCUUAAUACUAUUUAACAGACAAUCCCUCCAAAGUAUUGUGAGUUAUUUUUUAAGUUGUCUAAUAGUAUACUAUUGAUGCUCAUUAUUGACAUACUUUUAGAGCUAUUUAACUAGUGUUUUCAUGCAUAUUCUUAUACUAAC
rnacentral:lncRNA from 1 species